AGUUCAUCAAGGAAUUAAGCAUGAGUUGCAGUAUGGGCAGGGGGAAGGCAAGAAUCUAAUGCUUGGUCAGGAGGAUGGGGAAUGGCCUUAUCUAGGUAGGGAUAUAGUGGAGGUAAAGGAGAGGGGUAGGGAUUUCUAAGAGUGGUGGAGCCUGGCUUCCCACUUGCAUACAGUGCCUGAAGUAGUACUGGCUGUGAGAAUCCUGUGGAGGUUGAUAUUGCUUCCUGUUGCAACAAUAAUCCUUCAUAACAGAACACUGCAAAACACUGUGGCUUAACUGAAAGCGUGUACCCUUUGACCAACAUCUCCCUAUUUCCCCCAUCCCAUCCCCUACUGUAGUUAAUAAUACUGUACUGUGUACUUGAAAUUUGCCAAGAGAGUAGAUGUUUAGUGUUCUCACCACACACACACACACACACACACACACAAAUGGUAAAACAAAUAAACAAACACAGUGGCUUAAAACAGCAGUCACUUAGAAUUGCUCACACACCAGCACUUCUGCUGGGUUCUGAAAGAGCUAGUCUGUGCUCAGCUGGGUGGCUCCACUGCCCACAGGUGUCCAGGUUGUCUGGGGAGGCUCUGCUUCUAUCUGCAGUGAUUGCUGCGGUGCUGGUCCACGUGGCUCAUCAUAUGCUUAGGACCUGUUUGCAAGCUGGAGGAUGUUCUUCUCAAUGCCAGAGGCAUAAGAGGACAAGCCUUGAGAGCAACAAGGAAGGUCUGUGUGGCCAAGUCUGCAAUCAAGAAAUGGCUGCUGGAAGAGGCAUCUCUGACCCAACCCAGGAAGGCCAUCACUGCCUCCAAAGAGUACCAUCGUGCAAAUUAGCAAAAUCCCCUUGUGUUUUGCAGCACUGGGCAUUGUUAUCAUUUUGGAGGAGGGCCAUGAUGAAACUACAUACUUUUUUGUUUGCGUAUCAUGUAACUAGUUAGAUUUAAAAUUUUUAUUUUAUACCAAAUUGUGGAAUUAUUUUCAAUCAUUGUUGGAAUUGAAAUAUUCAUGCAACCUCUUCAUAGAGCUAGUCACUUCAGAUGUGGAACACAGAGAGAGG
ensembl:lncRNA